rnacentral:sRNA from 1 species
GAUAUCCGGGAUGUUGGGGUGGUUACCCCUCCUUUAGCCCAGAGUGGGGAGCAGCCCAGCUAGCAAGGUAGCCAGAGAGCAAGAAUGGGUCAGCCAACUAGGAGAGGGGGACCCUGGCCUUUCUUCCUAGUGGUGGUGCCGCAAGGUCUGGGGCACUGAGCCUGGGGAGCUGUGGGGGAAGAAGGCAGGAAAACUCUUUCUGGCAUCCUUAAGUCAGUCUCUUUCAGGAGCUUCUCUCUGCACACAGGAGUACCUGGCCGUAGUCGAUGCCCCUCCCCUGGACCUCCGGUUCAACCCCUCGGGCUACCUCUUGCUGGCUUCAGAAAAGGAUGCUGCAGCCAUGGAGAGCGACGUGAAAGUGCAGAGGGAUGGAGGACGAAGGUUGGUUUGACCCCUGGUGUCUGCUCCAGGGGCUUCGGCGAAAGGUCCAGUCCUUGGGAGUCCUUUUCUGCCAGGGAGAGGUGACACGUUUUGUCUCUUCAUCUCAACGCAUGUUGACCACAGAUGACAAAGCGGUGGUGUUGAAAAGGAUCCAUGAAGUCCACGUGAAGAUGGACCGCAGCCUGGAGUACCAGCCUGUGGAAUGCGCCAUUGUGAUCAACGCAGCCGGAGCCUGGUCUGCGCAAAUCGCAGCGCUGGCUGGUAUUGGAGAGGGGCCGCCUGGCACCCUGCAGGGCACCAAGCUACCUGUGGAGCCGAGGAAAAG